rnacentral:rRNA from 1 species
UACGUAGGGGGCAAGCGUUGUCCGGAAUCAUUGGGCGUAAAGAGCGUGUAGGCGGCUCGGUAAGUCCGCUCUGAAAGCCCGGGGCUCAACCCCGGGAGGCGGGCGGAUACUGUCGGGCUAGAGUCCGGAAGAGGCGAGUGGAAUUCCUGGUGUAGCGGUGAAAUGCGCAGAUAUCAGGAGGAACACCAAUGGCGAAGGCAGCUCGCUGGGACGGUACUGACGCUGAGACGCGAAAGCGUGGGAGAAGCAACGAUG